rnacentral:rRNA from 1 species
UACGGAGGGUGCAAGCGUUGUUCGGAAUCACUGGGCGUAAAGCGCGUGUAGGCUGUGACGAAAGUCGGGUGUGAAAUCCCUUGGCUCAACUAAGGAAUUGCGCCCGAAACUGCGUGACUAGAGUACGGGAGAGGGACGUGGAAUUCCUGGUGUAGAGGUGAAAUUCGUAGAUAUCAGGAGGAACACCCGUGGCGAAGGCGACGUCCUGGACCGAUACUGACGCUGAGACGCGAAAGCGUGGGGAGCAAACAGG